AAAAAGGCAAACCCUAGGUUUCCGUGUCCAACUUUGACUGUCAGUCUUAUAUGAAAUUUUUUUAUAAUUCGUAUUUUCAUUGUUGUUAGAUGAUAAAACAUGAUUAAUAUUUUAUGUGUGACUUGUCUUUUUAAUUUUUUCAUAUUUUUUUUAAAUAAGACGAACGGUCAAACGUUCAACACGGAAACCAGGGUUUGUCUUUUU
rnacentral:pre_miRNA from 1 species